GACGAACGCUGGCGGCGUGCUUAACACAUGCAAGUCGAACGGAAAGGCCCUGCUUUUGUGGGGUGCUCGAGUGGCGAACGGGUGAGUAACACGUGAGUAACCUGCCCUUGACUUUGGGAUAACUUCAGGAAACUGGGGCUAAUACCGUAUAGGAGCUCCUGCUGCAUGGUGGGGGUUGGAAAGUUUCGGCGGUUGGGGAUGGACUCGCGGCUUAUCAGCUUGUUGGUGGGGUAGUGGCUUACCAAGGGUUUGACGGGUAGCCGGCCUGAGAGGGUGACCGGCCACAUUGGGACUGAGAUACGGCCCAGACUCCUACGGGAGGCAGCAGUGGGGAAUAUUGCACAAUGGGCGGAAGCCUGAUGCAGCAACGCCGCGUGCGGGAUGACGGCCUUCGGGUUGUAAACCGCUUUCGCCUGUGACGAAGCGUGAGUGACGGUAAUGGGUAAAGAAGCACCGGCUAACUACGUG
rnacentral:rRNA from 1 species